CAAAGAGUUGGACAUGACUGAGCAACUUUCACUCACUCACUCAGGAUGUACAGGUACAUGGAAGGGAGGUUCAUGAGCGAGGGGACAGCUGUAUACCUAUGGCUGAUUCAUGCUGAUGUAUAGCAGAGGCCAACACAAUAUUGUAAAGCAAUUAUCCUCCAAUUAAAAAAAAUAAGAAAAGAAAAAAAUAUAAGCUAGUUUUCUCCAUGGGUCUCCAUCACACUGAGGAUACCCUGCCAUGAUCUCCCCACGACCCAAAAGGUCUCGUGUGAACUGAACACUCUGCCCACUCCUUUCCCCUGGUCCCUGUGGCCCAGCCACUGGGGCCAUCUUGCUGUUCCUGGAACACGCCAGGCACACUUCUUCUCAGGGUCUUUACUCUGGUUUUGCCCUCAGCCCAGUCCCUCUCUUGCUCCAGCAUCCACAUACUCUAUCCAUCAUCCACCUGGCUCUCUGAUCAAUGUCACUUCCUCCUAAGGUUUCCUUGAGCACCUAUCUCAGACUACCCAUGGCCACUUUCUGUGCUCACCUCCACAGUCCUCAUCAGCCUGCCAUUGCUUUCUCGUCCCUGACCCGCCCUGGAAAUGUGGGCUCCAUGACAGCAGGGCUCUGCCUGUCUCAUUCACCAUUAUGUCCUCACCAUCCGGGCUCCUAGUAUCUGGCAGGUGUCAUUACAUGUCUGUUCAGGGACCAAAUGAAUGAGUGCUGGAUGCCCUGGGUGCCUGUAACUGGGGAACCUGCUGUAGUCUGGAGGGCUCAGGGCCGCUUCUUGAGGAUGGGUCAUUUGAGCUGAGCUCUAAAGGAAGAGAAGGGAUUACCCAGAUGAGGGGGUGGGGCAGAGGCAACAUUACAGGCAGCAUCAUCUGCUUGUGGGAGGAUCCUGACCAGGAUGGAGACUGACACAGUGAGGGACAGAAAAUCAGUAAGAGGGGCAAUCGCCUCUUCAUCAGAACAACCCUUAUGGGGACAAGAAGCCUCUACUGUGAGGGAGGCGGAGCCCGCGGCAAGCUGCUGGAUCACAGUCUGGAGAGAGGUGCUGGGGCAUCACACGCUGGCCAGAGUCUUCCAUGACCCCCUCCCCGCUCUGGUGUUCUACCGGACUGUCAAUGCCUGUGGAUGAUUACAGAGACCAGAGAAGGAAUCCCCUGGAUGGCAGUUUCAGAAGCUGGAAUCUGCAAGACUUAUGUGGGACACAGGCCAAUCCGAGCAAGGAUGAGCUCCUUAAGCAGAAAUCAAGUGGCCAUGAAUUUGGUGGCCUUUCUCUACUUUUUAACAACCAUGCCCCAUUAAAAACGGUCAUCAUGGGUUGCAAACCAGUGUGAAGGUACUUAAUGCUACAAAACGGCACACUUUAAAACCGCUCAAAAUGGUACAUUUUAUGUUAUGUGCAACAUAAACACGAAAAAUGUAGUCCACGGAAACAACCAACUACUGAAGCUUUCACUUCUCCUACAAAUGCCUGCGAAGUGGUCGUCUUCCAGCCUCAGGUUGAACAUAUAUAGCAACAGGUGAGUCACUGCCAUGGCCACAGAAGAUGCCAUCUUUUCUAUUGCUGUUAAAAACUUCUUGGAAUACAAUCAAAUUGGUCAGGGACUUCCCUGGUGGUCCAGUGGUUAAAAAUCUGCCUGCCAAUGCAGGACGCCCAGGUUUGAUCCCUAAUCUGGGAAGUUCCCACAUGCUGUGCACCACUACUACUGAGCGCUAGAGCCCAUAUUCCGAAACAAAAGAAGCCACUACAGUGAGAAGCCUGCAGACUGCAGCUAGA